ensembl:ncRNA mir-33 mir-33 stem loop
CUCUUCCUCUGGAGAUGACACGAAGGUGCAUUGUAGUCGCAUUGUCUGUCCCAAUUGCUUCAGGCAAUACAACUUCAGUGCAAGCUCUGUGCAUUUCAC